rnacentral:rRNA from 1 species
GAUGAACGCUAGCGGCGGGCUUAAUACAUGCAAGUCAAGGGGUAGCAAUACACCGGCGUACGGGUGCGUAACGCGUAUGGAACCUGCCCUUAUCUGGGGGAUAACUCGGGGAAACUCGAGCUAAUACCGCAUAAGAUAGUAGAGAGGCAUCUCUUAGCUAUUAAAGAUUUAUCGGAUAAGGAUGGCCGUGCGUAAGAUUAGAUAGUUGGCGAGGUAACGGCUCACCAAGUCUACGAUCUUUAGGGGCUCUGAGAGGAGAAUCCCCCACACUGGCACUGAGAUACGGGCCAGACUCCUACGGGAGGCAGCAGUAGGGAAUAUUGGGCAAUGGGCGGAAGCCUGACCCAGCCACGCCGCGUGCAGGAAGACGGCCCUCUGGGUUGUAAACUGCUUUUAACUGGGAAGAAAGCAGCUCAUGCGUGAGAAUUUGACGGUACCAGUUGAAUAAGCCACGGCUAACUACGUGCCAGCCGCCGCCGUAAUAC